rnacentral:rRNA from 1 species
AUUGAACGCUGGCGGCAGGCUUAACACAUGCAAGUCGAGCGGUAACAUUUCAAAGCUUGCUUUGAAGAUGACGAGCGGCGGACGGGUGAGUAAUGCUUGGGAAUAUGCCUUGAAGUGGGGGACAACAGUUGGAAACGACUGCUAAUACCGCAUAAUGUCUACGGACCAAAGGGGGGGAUCUUCGGACCUCUCGCUUCUUGAUUAGCCCAAGUGAGAUUAGCUAGUAGGUGAGGUAAAGGCUCACCUAGGCGACGAUCUCUAGCUGGUUUGAGAGGAUGAUCAGCCACACUGGGACUGAGACACGGCCCAG